rnacentral:ribozyme from 12 species
AAACACGUAGAGGAUUCCAAGCUCAUCCCACCUACGAGCCAUUUAGUGAUUCUGCCGGGUGAUAUAAUAAUCAUGGAAUC